UAACGAGUGCCCAAGCGUUAUCCGGAAUCAUUGGGCGUAAAGGGUGUGUAGGUGGCGAUGUUAGUCUUCUGUUAAAGCCUCGGGCUUAACCCGAGAUCUGCAGAGGAAACGGCAUUGCUUGAGGGUGCGAGGGGUGAAUGGAACUCAUGGAGUAGGGGUGAAAUCCGUUGAUAUCAUGGGGAACACCAAAAGCGAAGGCAAUUCACUGGCGCAUUCCUGACACUGAAACACGAAAGCGUGGGAUAGCGAACGGG
rnacentral:rRNA from 1 species